GCAUCAGGGACGAAAGCCAGGGGAGCGAAAGGGAUUAGAUACCCCUGUAGUCCUGGCCGUAAACGAUGAACACUAGGUGUCGGGGGAAUCGACCCCCUCGGUGUCGUAGCCAACGCGUUAAGUGUUCCGCCUGGGGAGUACGCACGCAAGUGUGAAACUCAAAGGAAUUGACGGGGGCCCGCACAAGCGGUGGAGUAUGUGGUUUAAUUUGGAUCAACGCGAAGAACCUUACCAGGGUUUGACAUCCCUGCGAAUCUUUUGGAAAACCAGAAGAGUGCCUUCGGGAGCGCAGAGACAGGUGGUGCAUGGCUGUCGUCAGCUCGUGUCGUGAGAUGUUGGGUUAAGUCCCGCAACGAGCGCAACCCACGUCUUUAGUUGCCCAGCAUUGAGUUGGGCACUCUAGAGAGACCGCCGGUGAUAAACCGGAGGAAGGUGUGGAUGACGUCAAGUCAUCAUGCCCCUUACAUCCUGGGCUACACACGUACUACAAUGCUACGGACAGAGGGCAGCAAACUCGCGAGAGCUAGCAAAUCCCAUAAACCGUGGCUCAGUUCAGAUCGUAGGCUGCAACUCGCCUACGUGAAGGAGGAAUCGCUAGUAAUCGCAGGUCAGCAUACUGCGGUGAAUACGUUCCCGGGCCUUGUACACACCGCCCGUCACACCAUGGAAGUUGGCCAUGCCCGAAGUCGUUACUCCAACCCUUGUGGAGGAGGACGCCGAAGGUGGGGCUGAUGACUGGGGGAA
rnacentral:rRNA from 1 species